GUAUCCUGGCUCAGGAUGAACGCUAGCGGCAGGCUUAACACAUGCAAGUCGAGGGGCGAGCGGGGAGUAGCAAUACUCCGCCGGCGACCGGCGCACGGGUGCGUAACGCGUAUGCAACCUACCUUUAACAGGGGCAUAACACUGAGAAAUUGGUACUAAUUCCCCAUAACAUUCGAGAAGGCAUCUUCUUGGGUUAAAAACUCCGGUGGUUAAAGAUGGGCAUGCGUUGUAUUAGCUAGUUGGUGAGGUAACGGCUC
rnacentral:rRNA from 1 species